UUCACCUUCUCUCUCUCUGAAGGAUUAAAAUUCCACUUCUCCAUUUCAAACCGGUCACGUUUCUGAAGCACGGGCGGCUUGUCGUCACCUUUUUUCAGCUGCUUUUAUCAAAAACCUCUUUCAGCUUCUAAAAGAACAGAAAUAAUAUAAAAAUUCAGAGGCUUCAUCAUUAAAACACACAGAGGAGACACAGAAUGCGUGAAGCCACAUCGCCCCCUACAGGACACUCACAGAGGAACAGGGAGAGGAACCGUAACUAGACUGUUAAUGUACUGUGUGGACUGGAGGUGUUUCUUUCACACUUGCAUGUACAUUCUCAGAGAAAGCAGAUUAUUAGUUAUUAGUCAUUUAUUUAUCAAUAAUUUGCUCCUGGAUUUCAGAACAUUUUAAUAGAGAAUUUUAAGAACACAGGUUUUCAGAUUAUCACUCAGCAAUUGAAGAUCCUGAGUUUCAGCAGUGAAGCAAAAGAUCAUUUAGACAUUAAAGAUUUAAACAAAAAUCUUGGAAGAUAAUUUCGCUCGGCUAUCAUUGUUCGAGUGGCACAGAACCUCCGUGUGGUGUUAUCUAACCUAGCUAAUGUUAGCCAUGAUCAGACGAUCCGUUGCUGGUUCAUAUUCUAUUUUAGGUCAUUAUGGAUUGCAGGAGAUCAUGGGGCGUUUCCUUAAUUUGCAUAUUUAUGCAUAUUGAUAUACCCUGGCUAAACAUGCAGUCUGUAGGCUGUGUUAGGUUAAGAUUCUUAUAAGCGUGGGCCAUGACCCAGAAAUGUUCCUCAAUCUCAUCCUCAUCACCGCUCUCUCUCUCUCUCUCUCUCUCUCUCUCUCUCGCUCUCUCUCUCUCUCUCUCUGCUGUCCAAUCAGCUUUAAUUUAAUUGAAUGUAAUUACACUGAAAUUACUGCAUUCUCAAUUAUCUUUCUUUCACAGAUCUCCGAGACAGAUGUGAGACGAGACGACUUGCUGAACCUCUGGAGUUCAGAGGAGGGGCAUGUUCAUGUGAGACACACUGCAGCUCUGUUUCUAAACACACACUGCAUUAAAGCUAAAUGUGAUAACCUUCUGCAGGAACUUCAGCACAAUGUUUUAAAAAAAGCUAAAGAAAAAGAAGGUAGAAGAGGGAAAGGUCAAAUCAGAAAGUCAAGGUCAAAUUAACUUUCUGGAUCAUGUAACAAUGGUGGUUAAAAUAUAGAAUCAACUGACCAAUCAGCUCUUCAGCUCUCAUGACGUCACAUCACAUCUGCAGCGCAACAACUUACAUCCUAUUAAAACCUUAAUAUCCUGCAGCUGAGUCGAUUCAGAGUCGAUUCAGGAUUCAUUUCACACAUUCUCUCAGGUGCACACACACACACACACACACACACACACACACACACACACACACACACACACACACACAGUAAGCAGGAGAACAGAGAGAAGAAAGACUGUAACAGGCGUUUAUUUUACAAAUAAAGAUAUUUUCUUUAGUCGGUGCAUCCAAAUCACUCUGAACACACUGCAGAUCUGUUGUGAAAUGUAAACAAUAACGUUAAAAGCAUAUCACCACACACACACACACACACACACACACACACACACACACACACACUUUGCUGAUGUUGCAGUUGUUAGUGUACAGGACAGUAAACAAUCAGCUUAAAAGCCAGGCUGUGUUUCUCUCAGAGAAAAUAUAAUACACUAAAAGGAUCUUUACUUACAAAAUAUAAUUACUGUGUGUGUGUGUGUGUGUGUGUGUGUGUGUGUGUGUAAGAUCCAAUAUAAACUGAUGAGAUGAGUUCCUGGCUGUAUUAGCAGCACAUAUGGAACAGUGAAAUGAAACGGUGUGUGUUUUACAGGCAGCUCCACACUGAGCCCUUCACUUCCUGUGUGUGUGUGUGUGUGUGUGUGUGUGUGUGUGUGUGUGUGUGUGUGUGUGUGUGUGUGUGUGUGUGUGUGUGUGUGUGUGUGUGUGUGUGAGUGAGACAG